UGAGGGAAUAUUUGGGGUCAAUGGACGAGAGUCUGAACCAGCCAAGUAGCGUGCAGGAUGACGGCCCUAUGGGUUGUAAACUGCUUUUAUGCGGGGAUAAAGUGUGGGAUGCGUCCCAUAUUGCAGGUACCGCAAGAAAAGGACCGGCUAAUUCCGUGCCAGCAGCCGCGGUAAUACGGAAGGUCCGGGCAUUAUCCGGAUUUAUUGGGUUUAAAGGGAGCGUAGGCCGGAAGAUAAGCGUGUUGUGAAAAGUCGGGGCUCAACCUCGGCCUUGCAGCGCGAACUGUUUUCUUGAGUACGCAGUAGGUAGGCGGAAUUCGUUGUGUAGCGGUGAAAUGCUUAGAUAUGACGAAGAACUCCGAUUGCGAAGGCAGCUGGCGAGAGCACAACUGACGCUGAAGCUCGAAAGUGCGGGUAUCGAACAGGGAUUAGAUACCCCUGGUAGU
rnacentral:rRNA from 1 species